rnacentral:lncRNA from 1 species
CCCAGAUGAAGAGCUCUGAGCAUUUUCAAAUUAGUUAUUGUACGCCCUCCAAUAGCUGAAAUAAUGUGCAAUUUACUGUCAGAGCUCUAAAGAUUUUAGGAUCUUUAGACACUAAUCCCUUCCCUCAAUCAUAGAAAUUGGAACAUGAUUCUCAUCUUUGAAGGCUUUGGCCAGCUUUUCUCUUUUCUUGCUACGCUCGUUAGAAUUUUGUCUCUGACAUUUUGAGACAGUUUUUGAAAGAUCAUUUCCAAGUUAUUUCAAAUUACUUUCAUUCUUAUUUUGAUGUCCUUUAAUUUAUCAUAUAAUCAGGAGUUGAGGCUCACUGGUGCCCUUGGACAGGAUAGUUUUAAAUCUACUUUACCUCCCAGUCAAUAUAUUCUUUAUUAAAAGGCUUAAAAGGAUUUAAAAAGGCCAUUAAAAUGUGUAAGCCUCUGUCUCAUUUUGGAAUAUUGUUUCCGUUGUUUUGUCCACAUGGAAUAUUCAAUGUGUCCAAGAGAAACGAUAAGAAAAAUAAUUCAUUUUGUGUUACUUAAAAUGGGACGUGGGAGGUCAAAAGUGACCCUGUUUGGGUUCCUUUGCCUUUAACCCCGUAUCUUUUCUUCUACCCUUUUUUGUUUUUUUUAAAAGGCACAUUUCAAAUAAACAUACAACUUUGAAGAUUCCUGGGUCAAAAAAUACUACUCUGUCACUGUAUCUUCUUACGAUUUAAUUUCUGAGACAAUAAAAAUUCCAGCCUAGUUCGAUGUCGGUUUUGUAAUGGAGAGUCACAGAAGAUGUCUCAGAACUUUCCUUGGAAACUUUCUUCUCCACCUGAAUCCCUUCCGUGUCAGUAUCUGGACGGGAUGGUCCACUGCUCUCCCAUCUUCCCUUGCUGUCUUGGGUCCCUCUUGACUGUCCAGGUCUUCAUGGCUUUUUCCAGUGAGUAGAACUGGUCCUACCCGGCUCUGCCCUGUGACCGUGUCCUCCCUGCCACGGUGCUCCAGGAACCACUCUUUGGCUUGCCCG